rnacentral:rRNA from 1 species
CCAGCAGCUGCGGUAAUUCCAGCUCCAAUAGCGUAUAUUAAAGUUGCUGCAGUUAAAAAGCUCGUAGUUGGAUUUCUGGCGUUUCAUUUCAGGCCGGCCACGGUUUCGUGUGUUAGUGCUUGAGAUCUUCGCCAUCCUUCCAAUGGCUAUUCAUCCUUCUUCAUUGAGGUGGUGAGUGGUAUUGGAUCUUUUACUUUGAAAAAAUUAGAGUGUUUCAAGCAGGCUUUAUGCUAUGAAUACAUUAGCAUGGAAUAAUAAUUUAGGACUUCGGUUCUAUUUUGUUGGUUUCUAGGACUGAAGUAAUGAUUGAUAGGGAUAGUUGGGGGUGCUAGUAUUCAGCGGCCAGAGGU